rnacentral:tRNA from 1 species
AGGUAAUUAACUCAACUGGUAGAGUGUUUCGUUUACAUUGAAAAAGCUAAAGGUUCGAAUCCUUUAUUGCCUA